rnacentral:lncRNA from 1 species
AUUAAAAAUAUAGAUUGGCUGAAGCGCCACACAUGCAUCAUCCAACAAUUUUAAUUAUUUGCUAAAAUCCCCGCUACCCAUGGCAACAAACACCAACCUUGUUAUUUUAAUAUUUUCUAUUAACUACAUUUCUGCCGAAAAGUGGUGGCACUUUCUACUCAAAUCUGCAAGAUGUAAUUCAGCCAAACACUAUAUGAUCGGGAAUCUGACAUACCUUCUAGUCUAUCCAGGCAAUUUGGGAUCGAUCUGUUCUAUGGAUUAAUCAGAUGACUGAGCGGAAUCCCCAAUCGCUGCCUCUGCCCCCACUUCUGCCGCACAGAUUUGGCCGUCCACACUGCUUCCCUCAUGGUGCGUCUACAUAACCCCAUUUACCAAAAUUCAGGUUAGAUGCAGAAAUGCGGAAACAAAUCCUUGCGGAACUGCGCACAUCACUAACACAAAUCUGCACCUGUUAAUCGGCUGCAGCAGGAACCCCAUCUUCACG